UGGAUGCCCUGGCAGUCAGAGGCGAUGAAGGACGUGCUAAUCUGCGAAAAGCGUCGGUAAGGUGAUAUGAACCGUUACAGCCGGCGAUGUCCGAAUGGGGAAACCCAGUGCAAUUCGUUGCACUAUCGUUAACUGAAUACAUAGGUUAACGAGGCGAACCGGGGGAACUGAAACAUCUAAGUACCCCGAGGAAAAGAAAUCAACCGAGAUUCCCCCAGUAGCGGCGAGCGAACGGGGAGCAGCCCAGAGUCUGAAUCAGCUUGUGUGUUAGUGGAACGGUCUGGAAAGUCCGACGGUACAGGGUGAUAGUCCCGUACACCAAAAUGCACAGGCUGUGAACUCGAAGAGUAGGGCGGGACACGUGGUAUCCUGUCUGAAUAUGGGGGGACCAUCCUCCAAGGCUAAAUACUCCUGACUGACCGAUAGUGAACCAGUACCGUGAGGGAAAGGCGAAAAGAACCCCGGCGAGGGGAGUGAAAAAGAACCUGAAACCGUGUACGUACAAGCAGUGGGAGCACCUUCGGGUGUGACUGCGUACCUUUUGUAUAAUGGGUCAGCGACUUAUAUUCUGUAGCAAGGUUAACCGUAUAGGGGAGCCGCAGGGAAACCGAGUCUUAACUGGGCGUUAAGUUGCAGGGUAUAGACCCGAAACCCGGUGAUCUAGCCAUGGGCAGGUUGAAGGUUGGGUAACACUAACUGGAGGACCGAACCGACUAAUGUUGAAAAAUUAGCGGAUGACUUGUGGCUGGGGGUGAAAGGCCAAUCAAACCGGGAGAUAGCUGGUUCUCCCCGAAAGCUAUUUAGGUAGCGCCUCGUGAAUUCAUCUUCGGGGGUAGAGCACUGUUUCGGCUAGGGGGUCAUCCCGACUUACCAACCCGAUGCAAACUACGAAUACCGAAGAAUGUUAUCACGGGAGACACACGGCGGGUGCUAACGUCCGUCGUGAAGAGGGAAACAACCCAGACCGCCAGCUAAGGUCCCAAAGUCAUGGUUAAGUGGGAAACGAUGUGGGAAGGCACAGACAGCCAGGAUGUUGGCUUAGAAGCAGCCAUCAUUUAAAGAAAGCGUAAUAGCUCACUGGUCGAGUCGGCCUGCGCGGAAGAUGUAACGGGGCUAAACCAUGCACCGAAGCUGCGGCAGCGACACUAUGUGUUGUUGGGUAGGGGAGCGUUCUGUAAGCCUGCGAAGGUGACCUGUGAGGGUUGCUGGAGGUAUCAGAAGUGCGAAUGCUGACAUAAGUAACGAUAAAGCGGGUGAAAAGCCCGCUCGCCGGAAGACCAAGGGUUCCUGUCCAACGUUAAUCGGGGCAGGGUGAGUCGACCCCUAAGGCGAGGCCGAAAGGCGUAGUCGAUGGGAAACAGGUUAAUAUUCCUGUACUUGGUGUUACUGCGAAGGGGGGACGGAGAAGGCUAUGUUAGCCGGGCGACGGUUGUCCCGGUUUAAGCAUGUAGGCUGGUUAUCCAGGCAAAUCCGGAUAAUCAAGGCUGAGGUGUGAUGACGAGGCACUACGGUGCUGAAGUAACAAAUGCCCUGCUUCCAGGAAAAGCCUCUAAGCAUCAGGUAACAUCAAAUCGUACCCCAAACCGACACAGGUGGUCAGGUAGAGAAUACCAAGGCGCUUGAGAGAACUCGGGUGAAGGAACUAGGCAAAAUGGUGCCGUAACUUCGGGAGAAGGCACGCUGGUGUGUAGGUGAAGUCCCUGCGGAUGGAGCUGAGACCAGUCGAAGAUACCAGCUGGCUGCAACUGUUUAUUAAAAACACAGCACUGUGCAAACACGAAAGUGGACGUAUACGGUGUGACGCCUGCCCGGUGCCGGAAGGUUAAUUGAUGGGGUUAUCCGUAAGGAGAAGCUCUUGAUCGAAGCCCCGGUAAACGGCGGCCGUAACUAUAACGGUCCUAAGGUAGCGAAAUUCCUUGUCGGGUAAGUUCCGACCUGCACGAAUGGCGUAAUGAUGGCCAGGCUGUCUCCACCCGAGACUCAGUGAAAUUGAACUCGCUGUGAAGAUGCAGUGUACCCGCGGCAAGACGGAAAGACCCCGUGAACCUUUACUAUAGCUUGACACUGAACAUUGAGCCUUGAUGUGUAGGAUAGGUGGGAGGCUUUGAAGCGUGGACGCCAGUCUGCGUGGAGCCAACCUUGAAAUACCACCCUUUAAUGUUUGAUGUUCUAACGUUGGCCCCUUACCGGGGUUGCGGACAGUGUCUGGUGGGUAGUUUGACUGGGGCGGUCUCCUCCCAAAGCGUAACGGAGGAGCACGAAGGUUAGCUAAUCCUGGUCGGACAUCAGGAGGUUAGUGCAAUGGCAUAAGCUAGCUUGACUGCGAGCGUGACGGCGCGAGCAGGUGCGAAAGCAGGUCAUAGUGAUCCGGUGGUUCUGAAUGGAAGGGCCAUCGCUCAACGGAUAAAAGGUACUCCGGGGAUAACAGGCUGAUACCGCCCAAGAGUUCAUAUCGACGGCGGUGUUUGGCACCUCGAUGUCGGCUCAUCACAUCCUGGGGCUGAAGUAGGUCCCAAGGGUAUGGCUGUUCGCCAUUUAAAGUGGUACGCGAGCUGGGUUUAGAACGUCGUGAGACAGUUCGGUCCCUAUCUGCCGUGGGCGCUGGAGAAUUGAGGGGGGCUGCUCCUAGUACGAGAGGACCGGAGUGGACGCAUCACUGGUGUUCGGGUUGUCAUGCCAAUGGCACUGCCCGGUAGCUAAAUGCGGAAGAGAUAAGUGCUGAAAGCAUCUAAGCACGAAACUUGCCCCGAGAUGAGUUCUCCCUGAGACUUUAAGUCUCCUGAAGGAACGUUAAAGACGAUGACGUUGAUAGGCCGGGUGUGUAAGCGCAGCGAUGCGUUGAGCUAACCGGUACUAAUGAACCGUGAGGCUUAACCUU
rnacentral:rRNA from 1 species